rnacentral:rRNA from 1 species
AGGAUGAACGCUAGCUACAGGCUUAACACAUGCAAGUCGAGGGGCAGCAUGGUCUUAGCUUGCUAAGGCUGAUGGCGACCGGCGCACGGGUGAGUAACGCGUAUCCAACCUUCCCCAUAGUAGGGGAUAGCCCGGCGAAAGUCGGAUUAAUACCCUAUGUUAUUCGAUGCAGACAUCUAAGUUGAAUCAAAGGUUUACCGCUAUGGGAUGGGGAUGCGUCUGAUUAGGUUGCAGGCGGGGUAACGGCCCACCUGGCCCACGAUCAGUAGGGGUUCUGAGAGGAAGGUCCCCCACAUUGGAACUGAGACACGGUCCAAACUCCUACGGGAGGCAGCAGUGAGGAAUAUUGGUCAAUGGGCGAGAGCCUGAACCAGCCAAGUAGCGUGCAAGGAUGACGGCCCUAUGGGUUGUAAACUGCUUUUAUGCGGGGAUAAAGUGCGGCACGUGUGCCGUUUUGUAGGUACCGCAUGAAUAAGGACCGGCUAAUUCCGUGCCAGCAGCUGC